UACGUAGGGUGCAAGCGUUGUCCGGAAUUAUUGGGCGUAAAGAGCUCGUAGGCGGUUUGUUGCGUCGGCUGUGAAAUCCCGAGGCUCAACCUCGGGUCUGCAGUCGAUACGAGCAAACUAGAGUGUUGCAGGGGAGACUGGAAUUCCUGGUGUAGCGGUGAAAUGCGCAGAUAUCAGGAGGGAACACCGGUGGCGAAAGGCGGGUCUCUGGGGCAA
rnacentral:rRNA from 1 species